rnacentral:rRNA from 1 species
GACGAACGCUGGCGGCGUGCUUAACACAUGCAAGUCGAACGAUGAGGCGGUACUUGUACCGUGGAUUAGUGGCGAACGGGUGAGUAAUACGUGAGUAACCUGCCCCCUACUUUGGGAUAAGCCUUGGAAACGGGGUCUAAUACUGGAUAUUCCUGGUCUGCCGCAUGGUGGGUUGGGGAAAGUUUUUCGGUGGGGAUGGGCUCGCGGCCUAUCAACUUGUUGGUGGGGUGAUGGCCUACCAAGGCGUCGACGGGUAGCCGGCCUGAGAGGGUGACCGGCCACACUGGGACUGAGACACGGCCCAGACUCCUACGGGAGGCAGCAGUGGGGGAUAUUGCACAAUGGGCGCAAGCCUGAUGCAGCGACGCCGCGUGAGGGAUGACGGC